CGUAUCUGACAUCUUGCUCCAAUGUCUGGAUCACCUCCAAAGCCCCCAGGCUCCAAUACGACGGGCAGCAGCCAUCUUUAUCGGUUGCACUGUUCAAAGGUCAGAGCCCGCCAUGGUCAGGCAAGAGAAGGAGCUGAUACUUCAGUCUCUCAGUGGCCUGCAGCAAGAUCUGGAUUCCUCUGUCUGUGUCAGUGUCUCACGGGCCAUUCAGCAAGUUCGGGAUGGGGGCAGAAACCAGUCACCUCAGACCCUAGGAGCUAGAUUCAGGAACCUGUUCUGCUGCUUGACUGGCCAGGAGGAGAGGGAAAAUGCUCCUGACAGAGAUCUCUUCGGUGGCCCAGACCCUUCCCAAAGCCACCGAUGGGACUCAGGAGGUCCCUGAGUUCCCACAGAGAAGUUGGUGACUGGAGGAGGUCAGCUGAGCCACCACUCCAGCCCCGAAGCCAGUGCCUGCAUGAUCCUGUGGUAAUUACCUGCAUUGUUUCCCAUGAGAUGUAGGCAGCUGGGGAUGAGUUUAAGUGACCCCAGUACUCA